AAACAGACUAAUAUUUAUUGCUGUGAUUUUAGGAUUUUAGUUGUUAUUUUCUCUGCCACACAGGCACUCUCUGUGCUUGCUUAAAUUGCUGUGGAUAUUCCUGCCAAAGCUAUUGCAUUAAUACCCAUUUCAUGCUGACAUGUAUACAGAAAUUAUGUAUUUUCAUGAAUUAACAAAAAAGUUCGCUGCCCAGCACAUGAUCCAUCUGGUGGCUCCACUCACAGCCCUGGGCAUGGGGAAUCUGCCUGGUCUACAGGCCGACUUGCAUCUUUUCUAGUGGAUAGAAAACAAAAAACUGUCUCCAUUGCCAGAAGUCGCACCUCCCUGUUUGUUCUGGGAGUGGCGUUUCCUCUUUAAUCACAUUUAUCCUUGUGUUUGCUUACCUUGGUGUAACUCUCUGUUCCACCAUGGAGAUGGAGAGCGCCCCGGGGGACGUUUCUGAGCUCACUCCAUCACGUGUCACCAGGGCGUAUUUCUGGCAAAAAUUAUACUUCCAAGCAUGACAUUUUUUUAGCUGUACAUUUUAAAAAUCAAUUAUUAUUAUAUCUUUUCCUGUCAUGAAUGGUAAUUUUUACUAUUACUUUGUUUGGCCCUAUGUUGUUGCCUGGGGAUGCCUCUUUGCGCUUGAAAGCAAAGGUUUUCAUUAUUGCUGGUGGAAUCAGUGGCACAGUACUUAUAGGAAUCUCUUCCACACUUCACACCUUCUAUCCAGCUGGGCUCAGCUUUGCUGCUAGCUCUUCUGGUGGCUUUUCUGUACCUGAAAACACCAUAGGAAUGUGUCCUAGGACCAACUUCACACCACUCCACUCUGUAGGACCUCAGGAAGAAGUACCCGAGGCUCUCCGUGCACUUUCCCCACUUGUAAAAUUGUAGUAAACACAUCCAAAUGUCAUUAGUAAGUGUUUCGUGCUCCAAGAAUGAGACUAUUAUGUCAGUGCUUUGCAGUGUCGUUAUUUAUUAUCUCGGAGCUAAUGGGAUGCAAUACAAAGAGUGUGGCGUGAUUUCGGAAGCUGGAGGCGUGCCGUGUUUCCUGAUGACAGUGUGAAUGCUUGUGGCUUUUUGGAGCAGCUCGAGAUGUAGAAUUUGAUGAGGAUCCUUCACUGUUGCUCCCAGCUAGUCUCAUCGGGUGGUCGGCGCUUUGUAUUAGCCUAGAAGGUCACCGGAGGAAUUAGCUGGUGUGAAUUUGUGGCUUCCUCAGUAGUAAGAGAUUGUUGACACGCUGUUGGGAAUAGCAUUUCAGGGGGUGAAUGCGUGAGAAAGGCAGCAGGGAGAUACUCGAGCUACAAGAGCACUGAAGUCCUCAAUGGCCGAUUCACUGGGCUUGCAUUUGAAUCCAGAGGGAAGUAGUGAAUAUCUGAACUCACAUUCUCCCUUCCAUUCUUCCUCCAGCCCUUUCUCAGGGUCAGCACUCAUAUGGUGGAGCAUCCUUAGUGGUGUAGCUGGGCUCUGCAGUCUUGUGCUGGGUUUGGUCUCAUCUCUUGAGCUCUGGGGGAAGCACUCAGCCCUGUGCUGACAGCAAAGGGAACACGUUUUGGAUGAUGUUCUGAAGCAAAGACCUGGCUGUCCACAGUCACUGAGGUUUUACCUGAUCCAAAAUCAGGGUUGUAAAUCUGUGUUGGUUAGUCUGAUUCCAGGUUGCCAAGAUAUUUUACAUUUUUAGCUCAAAAAUAUUUCAGAGGUGCACAAAUGGCUGCAUCUCGUGCCUGGAGGUGGAUGCUUUUGGCUUAUCAUCUUCAAAAACUGUCUACUUCUAGAAAGUUUUUAAUGAAGACUUACAUCCCUCCACUCCAUGGCCUUUGCUGGCCACAGGCUGGUCCUGACUUUCAACUCCUUGAAAGGGUAGAUAAUAGCAGGACAAGGGGAAAUGGUUUUAAGUUGAAGGAGGGAAGAUUUAGGUUGGAUGUCAGGGGGAAGUUCUUUACUAUGAGAGUGGUGAGGUGCUGGAACAGCUGCCCAGAGAGGCUGUGGAUGCCCUGUCCAUCCCUGGAGGUGUUCAAGGCCAGGUUGGAUGGGGCCCUGGGCAGCCUGGAAUGGUAUUGAAUGUGGAGGUUGGUGGCCCUGCCUGUGGUGUGGAGUUGGAGCUUCAUGAUCCUUGAGGUCCCUUCCAACCGAAACCAUUCUAUGAUUCUAUGAUGAUUCUGACUCCCUUCACCCCUUACAUUGGCGUUAGAGCUUCCAAAAGAGAAAAUAUCUAAAGAUAUGCUAGAAAAUGCAACCCCCAAUCGUGUAAUUUUUAGAUAAUUAAGUACAUCCUUGAACAACAGUUUUUGCAGACGACAAAUAUCUAAACAUGACAGUCUUAUUAAGCAUGGAUUGUAAACAGUCUCUUGAGUUUAAACCGUUGCAUACCACUGCAUCAUUGUUUGGAAAGAAAGGACCUGUAGCCAACAGAAACGUGUCGUACAUCCUGGCUGACCCGCUGUUGUCCAUCAAGGUACGUCUGAGCUUUCAGAGAUUGGGACUUUUCAAAGGAAAACACAUGGAUUCCACCUCUUUCGUAUUAAUAUUUCCUGAGUGCUUUUCCUUUCAAGUGUUUCUGUUUUUGGUGAUGCCUUUUUUAAAUUAAAAAGGCUUCCCAAGCCUUUCAACACAGCAUGUGUCCAAAGUGUGGAAAAUUCUCUUUGAAGAGUCGCAGUGUUUUAAAGAAAGGAAGAGAGGCUAAAAAAAAAAGAGGGAGGGCAAAUGGUGGCUGGUGUGGUGCGAGGGGCAGCUUGAUGCUUUCAAGCAGAGUAGUUUUGAUUAAAUGUGGAGUUGACUUGGCUGGUGUUAUGUGUUAUCCAGAUAGACGAAUAUGCAUACAGACGUGCUUUGAAAUAUUUGUGUGAUCUAUAUUCAUCUAGUCCGUGUUAACAGGAUUGUUUGAACGCCCAUGCUGUUUGCAUCUGAGGUGGGAUGUGCGAUGGCUGAGUCUGGUUUCUCUGGUGGCACCUGGCCCUUCUGACAUCAUGGGAAGGAGGGGAAAAGAGAUUGGCAGAAUGGCUUAGGUUGGAACACACCUGGAAGAUGAUCUGGUUCCAACCCACUGCUGUGGACAGGGUUGUGGAAUGAAAGAACCAUUUAGAUUGGAAAAGACCCCCAAGGUCAUCCAGUCCAACUGUCCACCUACCACCAAUAUUUCCCCACUAAGCCGUGUCCCUUAGUACAACAUCUAAAUGUUUCUGGAACACCUCCAGGAAUGUUGACUCCACCACCUCCCUGGGAGGCCCAUCCCAGUGCCUGAUCAUUCUUUCAGAGAAGUUUUUCUUAAUAUCCAAC
ensembl:lncRNA